rnacentral:rRNA from 1 species
UUGUAGGUGAACCUGCGGAGGGAUCAUUACCGAGUUUACAACUCCCAAACCCCUGUGAACAUACCAAUUGUUGCCUCGGCGGAUCAGCCCGCUCCCGGUAAAACGGGACGGCCCGCCAGAGGACCCCUAAACUCUGUUUCUAUAUGUAACUUCUGAGUAAAACCAUAAAUAAAUCAAAACUUUCAACAACGGAUCUCUUGGUUCUGGCAUCGAUGAAGAACGCAGCAAAAUGCGAUAAGUAAUGUGAAUUGCAGAAUUCAGUGAAUCAUCGAAUCUUUGAACGCACAUUGCGCCCGCCAGUAUUCUGGCGGGCAUGCCUGUUCGAGCGUCAUUUCAACCCUCAAGCCCCCGGGUUUGGUGUUGGGGAUCGGCGAGCCCUUGCGGCAAGCCGGCCCCGAAAUCUAGUGGCGGUCUCGCUGCAGCUUCCAUUGCGUAGUAGUAAAACCCUCGCAACUGGUACGCGGCGCGGCCAAGCCGUUAAACCCCCAACUUCUGAAUGUUGACCUCGGAUCAAGUAGGAAUACCCGCUGAACUUAAGCAUAUCAAUAAGCG